rnacentral:lncRNA from 10 species
CGAUACGUCUCCUCCUCUCAGAGGCUCCGAGGAAGGGCGUGGGCGCUGGAGGGAGCGAGAGAAGCUGGGGGGAUGCGCGUGUGGAGAAGAGGGCGCAGGAUGGGGGUGCUGGAACCUGGAGCGCAGGGCUCUUUGGCUACGCUGCUACAUACUUAGCUAAAGAAAAAUUUUGAAGUAGCUACCAUGUUAAGUAGCCAGUAGAAGGACCAAAAGUAGUAGCAAACAAUAUUGACAAGGAUUGGAAAGAAAGAUUUCCCUCAGACAAAUCAAAGCAGAGAUUAUUGUGAUCAAGCCCCAGAGGGUAACUGACAGUGUCCUCUGCCUCUCUUGGCUAACCACGGUCACUCAUUCACUCAUUCCUGCAAUCGCUCAAAGGUUACUUUCUGUCUUCCAGGCCCUGUGUGUGGUGUAGAGUUCCUAGAUGACAAGACAGAGUCCAUGUCCUCAAGGAAUGUGCGGUUAUACGAAGGAUGCAGGCACAGAAACACACAAGCCCAGGGAUGGAAGGGUGGAGAAACGCCACCCUCUUGACGAAGAAGAGGGCUCUGGGCAGCCUGUGGCUGGAGAAGUUACCUCGGAUCCUUUAGCCAGAGCAAAUCCGCCCCCUAGUAGCAGCACGAUGCCCCAGGGCACUUUCUCCUGGGUUACCUUCCAAUCCAGCAGGGGAGGGGGAUAAAAUGGAGUUUUCCUUUCUGGGAAGAAAAAGAAACACACACACACACACACACACACACACACACACACACACACACACACACACCAGAGCAGCAUUAGAAGACAAAAGAAAUCUAAUCAAGGGGGAAUAAAGCUAAUAAGGACAAUGAGGUACCAUCUCCUACUUAUAAAUUAGCUAAAGUUUACAAUAAUAUAUACAUUGCUGGUGAGGAUAUGAUCAAACUAUUACACACACUGCCAAUAGCAUCGUAAAUUGGUAUGACCUUUUUGAAAAGCAAUUUGGCCAUACAUUUUAAGGGCCAUUAAGACUUUGUAUUCUAUCACCCCAGCAAUAUUACUCCUAGAAGUUUAUCCUAAAGAAAAAAUACCCUCAAAGGAAAAGCUAUAUGCAAGAAAACAUUAAUUUAUGAAAAUAAAAAAUUCAAAACAGCCAAAAUGUUCUAUAACAGGAGAAUGAUUACAACCCCUCAACGCAAUAUAAUGCCAUUAUU